AAGAUUUUGAAAUGCUAAUGGAGCCGGGUUGGAGUCCUGCCAGCGAAAGUCUGUUUUGGCCUUUUCCACGUGUGCCUAAGCCAGUGAGUUUAUGACCUGGCGAGAGAGGUCCUGGCUCCAGCACCUAAAGCCCCAGGUGGAGCAUGCAUUGGCUGCAGGAGGCUGUGCGGGUGGACCCAGUGGCCCAGGUGCACCCUUCUCUUCCCCUACUGAGGAACCGUGAGCAGCAGGCUCUCUAUCUGCACGGCCACAGCGUCCUCUCCUAUAACUGGGAAUGACAGAACCCACUCCCGAGGACUGUGAUGACGCUGAAGUGAGAGGUGAAGUGAGAGGAUGCAUCCACGCCGCCAGAGUCCCUGACACUUCUUUGACAUACAGAUUGGAGCAGUCACUCUUCCAGGGCCUCUCCAGCUCUCACAUCCAGCGCAGGGGACAGGAAGAGGCCGCUUGGCAUCCCACUUGGCAAGGUUCUUUCCAACCGUGAGGUUCCAGUUCUGAAAGGAUGUCCCUCAGGCAGCUGCUUUCCUGGGAAACAGCAACUCCACUGAGCCUUGGAGGGUCAUAAAGGUCCCCGCACACACCCCAGAAGGCCCCAGAGAGGCACCUUUCCUGUGCUCGGCUCAGGCUGGUCGGCCAGACCCCGUGACCUGACCCUGCCAGGAAUGUGACCUGUCUGCCCGCCCAGACGUGCCCAGGACCUUGUUUCCCAAGUGUCUGCCUCAUCUGGGGGCCCGAUGCCCCCAGCCUACACCGGGUGCCCUUUCCGCAGUCACAGAUGCCUGAUUUGUUGAAUUAAUGAGCGGCUGCUUCUCUCAUCCUUUCCCUUGGCUCAUUCAAGUAAGCUUGUUACCCAUUCUUUUGCAACAGAGUCAC
rnacentral:lncRNA from 1 species